UGUCCAUGAAUGAAAAGGAGGAAAAAUCAUGUCUUGACUGUUUUGUUUAUGUCACCCUAUGUAUACUGCAUGCUCUGGUAGACACAGUGCGUGCAGCAGUAGCACGUAGCAUCCUCUCUCCACCCCUCUCUGGUGG